GUGCAGUCGUGUGUGGCGCCGGGAUCCAGCAAGGCGUUGUCGCCGAAGUGGCCGCCGUCCGCGAGGACCCCGACGCCGACCUCGCCGCCGUACUCGCCCGCCGAGGUCUGGCUCAGCCGGCCGUGGGCGAUCAGGUGGAUCCGGUCCGCGGGGCUGCCGCGCUCGGCGAGGACCUCGCCCGCCGUGAAGUCCCGCUGCGCGCAGCGCCCGGCGAGGGCGGUCAGGACGUCCGUGUCGUCGAACCCGCGCAGCAGGGCCAGUUCGCCGAGUUCCCCCGGGAUGACACGGACGGUGGCACCCUCCUGGACGAACUCGAUGCGUCCGUCGCCGAGGGUGUGCCGCAGCCGUCGGUUGACGCGGUAGGUACUGCCUCGGGCUUCGACCCAGGGCAGCAUCCGCAGCAGCCAGCGGGAGGUGAUCUCCUGCAUCUGCGGCGCGGACUUGGUGAUCGUGGCGAGGUUGCGGGCGGCGGCGGUGCCCAGAGACUGCUG
rnacentral:antisense_RNA from 1 species